CCUACGGGUGGCAGCAGUGAGGAAUAUUGGUCAAUGGGCGCGAGCCUGAACCAGCCAAGUAGCGUGAAGGAUGACUGCCCUACGGGUUGUAAACUUCUUUUAUAAAGGAAUAAAGUGAGACACGUGUGCCUUUUUGUAUGUACUUUAUGAAUAAGGAUCGGCUAACUCCGUGCCAUCAGCCGCGGUAAUACGGAGGAUCCGAUCGUUAUCCGGAUUUAAUGGGUGUAAAGGGAGCGUAGAUGGGGUGUUAUGUCAGAUGUGAAAGUUUGGGGCCCAACCGUAAAAUUGCAAUUGAUACUGGCAGCCUAGAGUACAGUUGAGGUAGGCGGAAUUCGUGGUGUAGCGGUGAAAUGCUUAGAGAUCACGAAGAACUCCGAUUGCGAAGGCAGCUUACUAAACUGCCACUGACAUUGAUGCGCGAAAGUGUGGGGAGCAAACAGGAUUAGAUACCCGAGUAGUC
rnacentral:rRNA from 1 species